rnacentral:rRNA from 1 species
GACGAACGCUGGCGGCAUGCCUAACACAUGCAAGUCGAACGGUAGUAGAAAUACUAUAGUGGCGAACGGGUGAGUAACACGUGAGUAAUCUGCCUCAUACGACGGGAUAACACAGGGAAACUUGUGCUAAUACCGUAUAAGACCACAGCGCGGCAUCGCGCAGGGGUAAAAGGAGUAAUCCGGUAUGAGAUGAGCUCGCGUCCCAUUAGCUAGUUGGCGGGAUAACAGCCCACCAAGGCGACGAUGGGUAGCCGACUUGAGAGAGUGAACGGCCACACUGGAACUGAGACACGGUCCAGACUCCUACGGGAGGCAGCAGUGGGGAAUAUUGGGCAAUGGAGGAAACUCUUACCCAGCAAUGCCGCGUGAAUGAUGGAGGUCUUCGGAUUGUAAAAUUCUUUUCUUAGGGACGAAUAAAUGACGGUACCUGAGGAAUAAGCCCCGGCUAACUACGUGCCAGCAGCCGCGGUAAUACGUAGGGGGCAAGCGUUGUCCGGAUUGACUGGGCGUAAAGGGUGUGUAGGUGGUUUGACAAGUUGAAAGUGUAAUACCUAGGGCUUAACUCAGGUGCUGCUUUCAAAACUGUCGGACUGGAGUGCAGUAGAGAAUAGUGGAAUUCCUAGUGUAGCGGUGGAAUGCGUAGAUAUUAGGAGGAACACCGGUGGCGAAAGCGGCUAUUUGGACUGUAACUGACACUGAGGCACGAAAGCGUGGGGAGCAAACAGGAUUAGAUACCCUGGUAGUCCACGCUGUAAACGAUGGAUACUGAGUGUAGGAGGUUCUACUCCUUCUGCGCUGUAGCAAACGCGCUAAGUAUCCCGCCUGGGGAGUACGGCCGCAAGGUUGAAACUCAAAGGAAUUGACGGGGACCCGCACAAGCAGCGGAGCAUGUGGUUUAAUUCGACGCAACGCGAAAAACCUUACCAAGACUUGACAUCGUAUGACCGCCAUAGAAAUAUGGAAUUGCGUAGCAAUACGCACAUAUAGACAGGUGGUGCAUGGUUGUCGUCAGCUCGUGUCGUGAGAUGUUGGGUUAAGUCCCGCAACGAGCGCAACCCUUAUUGCCAGUUGCCAAUAUUAAGUUAGGAACUCUGGCGAGACUGCCGUGGAUAACACGGAGGAAGGUGGGGAUGACGUCAAAUCAUCAUGCCCCUUACGUCUUGGGCUACACACGUGCUACAAUGGCUACUACAAAGAGCAGCUAGACCGUAAGGUUAAGCGAAUCUCAAAAAGGUAGUCUCAGUUCAGAUUGUGGGCUGCAACCCGCCCACAUGAAGACGGAGUUGCUAGUAAUCCCGAAUCAGCAUGUCGGGGUGAAUGCGUUCCCGGGUCUUGUACACACCGCCCGUCACGCCAUGGGAGUUGGGAGUACCCAAAGUCGGCGAGCUAACCAGCAAUGGAAGCAACCGCCUAAGGUAAGACCAAUGACUGGGGUG